rnacentral:ncRNA from 1 species
UGGCGGCGCUCACUCCACCAUAUGAGAGCCGUUCAUGACAAGGGAGGAACGUGAGAUCCCCGGGCUCGGGGUGCGGCAGUGUGGAGACCUGCCGUAAUGCGGUGCAUCCUGCGGGGAUGCCGCGAGCCUGUUCCAUGCGGAGGCAGAGCAGGCAGAGCUGAAACUAUGGC